GUUGGUGGCCAAUUUCGCAUUGUGAAACGGUGGAAAUGGAAGGCGACCACGCAGGUGGGAGUUGUAUAUGGAGAUGGCACAUCAUUUGCAGCAGCUGUUGAGGUAACAUGAAAUGGCAUUAUGCAUUGUUCUUUUCUUUUUUUCUACACAAAGAAGCCUGGGAUGUGAUUUUUUACGCAGUUCCACAAGAACCAGCUAGAUGUUGGCAUCCCGAACUUUUAUAGUUGCACAAGAAUUAAUUAAGAAUUGGUAUCCUCAACUUUUCGAAUUGUUGCACAACAGUAUCAUACGAGUUAGAAUCCUCAACUUUCGUAGUUGCACCAGAACCAUUUGGGAGUUGGCAGUCUCAGCUUUUUAAAUAGUCCAACAAUAAUAUCACCGAGUUGGCAUCCUCAACUAUUUUAGUUACACAUGAACCAUCAGGAGUUGGCAUCCCCAACUUUUCUUAAUAGUUGCACAACAAUGCCACAUGAGUUGGCAUCUUCAACUUUUUUUUUUGAGGGAGACAUCUUCAACUUCUUUACUUGCACAAGAAUCAUUUAGUAGUUAGCAUCCUCAUGUAUUCACAUGUAACUGAUUUGUUAGGUUUGUGGAUGCACUUGAAUGUAGUUGCACUACUUAUUUGGAAGAUUGUAAUCUUUUAGAAUUCACUAUUUUGUCAAUUUCUUGUGCUCGGACGUGCUAAAUUCAUCAUGUUCAUCAGUUCAAAAUUCAUUACAUAGUCGAACAAAAAUGCAAUAUGAAUUGCAUGUAGGAGUACUUGCAGUCGCACAAAAUAGAUGAUGUAGUUGCACAAGCCAGUAUAAGUUUUUUUUUAUUUUGCAUACAAAAUUUUAGCCAAACCAAAAUGAAUCUGAAAUUAUAUGAGUUGGCAUCUUCAACUUUUUAUGAGUUGAAGAUGCCAACUACUGAAAUUCAACCCCACAAGUAGAUGGAUAUGGCAGUGUUGUUAGUUGCACACUCGUGUUGGUUAAGUUGCACAGAUGCAACCCAGAACUAGUUCAUUUUUCUAAGGCUUCAUUUUUGCAUAAUGUGUGUUUUACUGGUUAUAGGGAUGGAGGAGCUGUUGUAGAUUUGUGCACACAAUUCUCAGCUAUGAAGUUACAUAUACUACUGUGUGGAAAGAUCAAAGAAAAAAAAACACUUGCAAACCAGAUUCUUGUCUAGUAGGUAGUUAUUCAUAGUAGCUACAACACUUUUUUUGCUACAUGGACAUCUAUUCUUCUGCAUUAUGUGUGAAUACGACUCUAUGUGCUCUCUCCUAUAUGUUUGCACAUUUUCGCAUUUUGUUGCACACAUGCUGUAAAAAUUGGCUUGUCCCAUGAUGUAGUUGCAUGAAAAUCAUAUAAAAAAGCACAAGUACCAGAUCUCCCUGUUUUGAUCUCUGUUUAUGUUAUCUUCAACAACUAUGGAGAAGCUAUUUUUGCAAAGAGAAAUUUUGUGAGGGAGAAAGGGAAAGACAAGGAGGAAGGACCUGAACAAGAGGAGAAAAGGAUCACCUCUUUUUUUUCACCCUUGCUAGUGCCUACUGCCUGCUCUGGCAUUGGAGAUCCAGACCUGGGAACCCAAGGUGGGGUCAAGUAGGGGCGUGAGGAAAAAGAAGUUGGUGGCCAGAGAGGUGUGAGAGCUUCAGAAGGGGAGGGAAGGGCACGUGAUGGCCUGGGGACCACGUCCAAUGCGUGCUUUGUUGGGUUCACACGUCUUUGUUGCUAUCGGGGGAGGGUUUUCCUUUUCUGGGAUGGGGGACAUAAUCUUUCCUUUUAUAGCGGCCGCUGGGGAACGCUAGGGAGCAGCCGGCCGCUCCCUAGACGCGUCCCUUAAUUGAUUAUCUGGCCUCAAAUUAUUAAAUAGUCCCACCUUGUGUUUCUUAUAUUCAACCCUUUCAAUUUAUAUAUCUCUUUGAAGUUCCUGGGUGUUAAGGAACUGUCUCGGGAAUUAGUAAGCAAGGAUAACAAGGAAUGAGGAAUAGAAAACACUUCGGCCCAGGCGCCCAGCCAUGUGAUGGCAAAAAAAAAGUCUUCAAAAUUUAUAGCUGCCAUAUUCUUUAUUUUCUUUAUUAUUUAUCGGGUACAAACUGUUACUUUCUUAGGUAGAUCUAUGUAUAUAUAUUCAUUAUUCUGAUCGUUACUUGACUCUUUCAAAUAAAGUGCACUAAUGUGUAUUUGAAUCA